rnacentral:rRNA from 1 species
GACGAACGCUGGCGGCGUGCUUAACACAUGCAAGUCGAACGGAAAGGCCCUGCUUUUGUGUGGUGCUCGAGUGGCGAACGGGUGAGUAACACGUGAGUAACCUGCCCUUGACUUUGGGAUAACUUCAGGAAACUGGGGCUAAUACCGGAUAGGAGCUCCUGCUGCAUGGUGGGGGUUGGAAAGUUUCGGCGGUUGGGGAUGGACUCGCGGCUUAUCAGCUUGUUGGUGGGGUAGUGGCUUACCAAGGCUUUGACGGGUAGCCGGCCUGAGAGGGUGACCGGCCACAUUGGGACUGCGAUACGGACCAGACUCCUACGGGAGGCAGCAGUGGGGAAUAUUGCACAAUGGGCGGAAGCGUGAUGCAGCAACGCCGCGUGCGGGAUGACGGCCUUCGGGUUGUAAACCGCUUUCGCCUGUGACGAAGCGUGAGUGACGGUAAUGGGUAAAGAAGCACCGGCUAACUACGUG